rfam:Bacillus sp. KCTC 13219 scaffold1.1, whole genome shotgun sequence.
UACUCUUUGUAAUAUGUGAAUUUUUAUUUCGGUAAACAAUUCCAUAUUGUUCACUUUAUUUUUUGGAGGUUUUCUCAAAUGAAACAAGGUACAGUAAAAUGGUUUAACUCAGAAAAAGGCUUCGGAUUCAUCGAAGUAGAAGGCGAAAACGAUGUAUUCGUACACUUCUCAGCAAUCCAAGGCGAAGGUUUUAAAACUCUUGACGAAGGUCAAAAAGUGGAAUUCGAAGUUGUAGAUGGCAACCGCGGACCACAAGCUGCUAACGUAACUAAACUUUAAUUCUUAGAAUUAAACUUAAACUCGUUAAUCCAAAGCACUUCCUAUAACAGGAAGUGCUUUUUU